GAGGGUUUGAAAGAAAGAAGACGGUGAAGAAUAGAGACAGCUGUCAGUCUCGAUUGAAACUAAAACAAAGCCCCGUAUACUUAAGUGACUGAGUAAAUGUGAGAUUUCCCCAAGCUGCCACUCCUAUUUGCGCUCCUGUACGAAUGGGUGAUUUGUAAGAGGACAAGUCUAAUCCUAAGUGGAGCAGCAUCAUGCCAUGGGGGUGCAGGGACAGGCUGACUGGUCAGAAUUGAGGGAAGGAUGAUUGCAGUCAGAUAUAGAAAGGUCCAGAGUGCAUGUCAUCAAGGACUGGGGCAACGGCACGACAAGAACCUGAAGCACACAGCCGAGACGACGCUGGAAUGGCUUCAGGACGAGUCUCUGAGCGUCCCUGAGUCACCCAGACAUUUCUUUUGUUUUUUUCAACUAGAGCAUUGGCAGGUGAAGUGACUUGCUCAGGGUCACACAGUGUCAGUAACAAGAUUUGAACCCACAGCCUCAGGGUUCUGAUCAACUGGAUUUACAAGGUAGAAAGAGAGACAUAUUUGGUAGUUACAUUGGUGACAGUCUUUUAUGCAUUUGCCUUUCUACCCUCAGCCCAGAACAACAGAAACAAGAAGAAAGCCCUUAAUAUUUAUGGUAUCUCCACCUCUUCUGCAAAUAAUCCAAUAAAGACAAAUCCCCAGAAGAAGUAUGCAUCAGUUAUUGUCCAGUGAUGGAAAAAGACAGCACUCCAUUUGAUUGGUAUUAUUUCAAACAAGCCUUUGCAAGACGGCGUCUUGACAAGCAAGGCUCACGGGCAUCUUGGAGCUGCAAAGGAGAAAGAAAUACCCAGUAAAAACAAAGCCACUGCCG